UACGUAGGGGGCAAGCGUUGUCCGGAAUCAUUGGGCGUAAAGCGCGUGUAGGCGGCCCGAUAAGUCCGCUGUGAAAGUCCAGGGCUCAACCCUGGGAUGCCGGUGGAUACUGUCGGGCUCGAGUCCGGAAGAGGCGAGUGGAAUUCCUGGUGUAGCGGUGAAAUGCGCAGAUAUCAGGAGGAACACCGAUGGCGAAGGCAGCUCGCUGGGACGGUACUGACGCUGAGGUGCGAAAGCGUGGGGAGCAAACAGG
rnacentral:rRNA from 1 species